rnacentral:rRNA from 1 species
UGAGGGAAAGGCGAAAAGAACCCCGGCGAGGGGAGUGAAAAAGAACCUGAAACCGUGUACGUACAAGCAGUGGGAGCCCCACCACUAAGCCAGUGGUGAACUCCACAUACGCAUCCUUUGCUGAGGAUACGGUUAACGGAGCGAAAGCGACGUUCAACCGCAAAAGAAGCAGAGGGGGCUUAGUGGUGGGGUGACUGCGUACCUUUUGUAUAAUGGGUCAGCGACUUAUAUUCUGUAGCAAGGUUAACCGAAUAGGGGAGCCGGAGGGAAACCGAGUC